rnacentral:rRNA from 1 species
GAUGAACGCUGGCGGCGUGCUUAACACAUGCAAGUCGAACGAAGCACCUUGAUUUGAUUCUUCGGAUGAAGAUCUUGGUGACUGAGUGGCGGACGGGUGAGUAACGCGUGGGUAACCUGCCUCAUACAGGGGGAUAACAGUUAGAAAUGACUGCUAAUACCGCAUAAGACCACAGCACCGCAUGGUGCAGGGGUAAAAACUCCGGUGGUAUGAGAUGGACCCGCGUCUGAUUAGGUAGUUGGUGGGGUAGCGGCCUACCAAGCCGACGAUCAGUAGCCGACCUGAGAGGGUGCCCGGCCACCUUGGGACUGAGGCACGGCCCGGACUCCUACGGGAGGCAGCAGUGGGGUAUAUUGCACAAUGGGGGAAACCCUGAUGCAGCGACGCCGCGUGAGCGAUGAAGUAUUUCGGUAUGUAAAGCUCUAUCAGCAGGGCAGAAAAUGACGGUACCUGACUAAGAAGCACCGGCUAAAUACGUG